ensembl:antisense
CCAGCUGAGGCUGAGGGAUUCUCCUCAGGAUGACCAUUUACAGAAGAACCCACCACAAAAGAAGGAAAAGAAAGGAAACUGAAGGCAGCGACUCAGACACGGAUCUCCUUUUUGAGGCUUCAGUGAACACUAUGGAGACCAAUGCUGCCUGUGCUCUGAGGUCACAAACCCGACACAAACAUUCCUCAAGCUCCGAGGUAGAUAUUUAUCUUUGGACCCAGUAAGGUGUGAGGUGCCUCGUUCAAGGCCUCCGCCUUAUUGGUUCACUGGCCUGUGGGCUAGCCUUUUGGGAGCAGGCUUACCCAACCACUCACAUGUCCACACCCAUGCGCACCUGGCGCUACCUGCCAGGCCUCCAUGCUCUCUAGUCUUCCCAGUUUGCUCCCACUGACUCUUGUCCUUGCACAGGCUCCCAGCCUGUUGCUGAGGAGGUACAGGCUUAUGUGUCUAGUGGUCAACCUUCAGUCUAGCAGGCCUCCAGGCAGGGUCACCUGACACUGUAGGCUCCGACACCUCCAGGCAGCUUCCCUGGGCUUAGGCUGUUUGGCUCCUCAGCUAAGAGCACCCUGGUGAAGAGCAGCUCCCGGAAUUAUGCCUCUUCUGACAAGUGCCUGUUAGAGCCGUUUCUGCUUCUCCUUCUGCUGACCUCUAAGAUCUUGAGCCUUCUUAUUCUUCUUAUUAUGAUUUUCAAGUAAGAUCUUGCUAUAGUCCUGGCUGGCCUUAACCUCGUGACCCUCCAGUGCCAGGAUUACAGGCAUGCCCCACACUCAGCUAAACUAUUGAUCUUGCUUGCCAGGCUCUCUUGUCUCUUCUGCCAUUUCUGUUUCUACUGCUUUGAAUCUCUCUCUGUCUCUAUGUCUAUCCAGUGCAGGCUCUCUGUCCAUCCUUUGAUGCCUAGCAUGUAUAAACAUUUACAAUGGUAAUAAUUUUAUUCAGACUGCUGUAUCUUCAGGACAAGAAACAUUUUUUCCCCAUAAGAAGGUGCAGAAAUAUAUAGUCUUUCUUCUUCAAAGAUUAUGCCAUGGUAGCAACCACUGGAUGUGUGCAGUAAGGCUUGAGUCUUACUGGAACUCAGCCAGCCUUCACUGCUGUAAUUCCUGAAGAAGCCUCGGCUUUGUCUCCAGCGGUGGACAGAUACCCAUCUAACAUCCACAACAUCCACAGUCUAUUGUACACAGGAUGGUCAUGGGGCGUCACAGUUCAGACACACGUGGAGUACAGUAUGCAUCUCUGCGCACACUGAAGGCGAAUGGAAGGACCCUGAAGGGCAGAGUACCACAUGGGGAAGAAAGGGAAAGAGGAAUGCCCAUUCAGGAACAGAAAGCUAAGUUUAAACAUCAUCCCAGGACGAAUCUCAGUUUUGCAAAAUGCUACAGGACACCCUCAUUAAUUCAAUUUCUAACAAGUAGAAAAUGCUUCUGGAUAUCACAAAAUCCUUUUCAAAUGCCCUUCCUCAUCAAGUCUAGCACUGGAAUAUCACUGGAAUAUCACUGGACUAUCCUUCUAUUUAAUGGCUAUUUCUUGCAUACUUGGAAUAUACCAGACACAUUUAUGGAUGAUGUUCGUGAGACAUCAGUGACCAACACAGAGAAGAUCCCUCCCUGGUCUACGGCCCUCACCUUCUACUGAGGCGGAAGAAUGAGGAAAAGCAAAGAUGACCAUCUCAGACCAUAAAAGCCAUUCUUGAGGCUGGACCACGAGGCAGCACUCACUCAGAGAAGAUGCACAAGCAAAAGACUGAGCCAGGAAAAGGGGCCAGGCACAGGGAGACUGGGGAAAUAACACCUGGGCAAAGGACCCAAGGCUGGGAUGGAAAGAAAGAGAGAUGGCUUUGCCAACUUGGGCUAUCUACUGAGCUGAAGUCUGAGACAAAGCAUGAUGGGUCCCUGGGGCAGCAUGGCUGGAUCUUACGAUGUGACUGUACAUAAUGUGGUUUUUGUCUACUGCUGACACAGCUGCAGGAAGUCCCCACCAUCAGCUUCAUUGGUGCAUGUCCAUACUACUCUCAUGGCCUUCAUUUUAAUAUCUUCUGUUGUCUUUUGUUAAUAUUUAAUAUCCCAUGUGUUUGUAGCUUGCCUUUACAGCAGCAUACAGUGACAUCUGGGCACUCUCAUCUGUUCGGUCACUCUGUAGUAGCAUGCGCUUUAGGAAAAUGUGCGUUUGUCUUGGUCUGUGCAGUCUAUCUAAAGUGUAAAUCCCCAAGGUAUUUCUAUAGAUUUGCUUCAGAUUGAAAAGGUCUUGGGGACCAGGCAGAUUUGAACACUUAGAUUUUUUACCUAAAGAUUCUUUUUCCAUGGCUCCAGGUAACAAAACCAGUGAUUCCCCACCAGCCUUUUAGGAUAUUACUGGUGUUAGAAGCCACACGGUUGCAGGUUAUAAGGCCAUGCCUAGAAAUGCCAAACCGAAAGGACUCAGAACAUUUCUCUUCUUUAAUAAGCUUCCGUUCGUGUUUCCAGAAGUCUAGAAGUUUCCUCCAUGGGCUCUCAUUCCAGAAAAAAAAAAUGACUACUUCAAAAUCUUAUUCUUAAGUAAAUAUACCUAAAUAUGGGUAUGUCUGAAAUAGAAUCAGCCCCACGGUACAGCAGCCGCUGUACCUAUCAGCAUGCUUUCUGCAGCAGGAUAGUGGCAGGCGGCCAGCGUGUUAUCCUCUAAUCCAUUGCUAGUCUACCUUCUGAGUGUUAUAAAUAUUCAUACAUGCCAUAGAAAGCUAUAAAGGGCUUUAUUCAAACAUUUUUGAAUACCCCUUUAUGUUUCCCCCAAAAGAAAGAAUGCCUGAAAAUAUUUUUUUUUUUUGCAUAAGGAUAAGAAUGUGAGUUCUCUUUUGUUCAUACUCAAAAAUCCUGAAAACCAAUAAACAGUAAAUUCUCUAAUCCUCAUUUUAUACCUCAAGGGUGAAGACACUGAAAACACAAACAAACAAACAACAGCAUUGGCACUCUGGCUUGCUGUGCCUGUGGAGGCCAGCACCACAGAGAGGCCUUGGUGUCCCUGGCUGCCCUUGGUCACUUCUCCCCCUGCCAGGGGCUCGCACUGGGGUCACAGCCCAGCAGGUCUACACACACAGAGACUGCCGACUCUGCUUGCACCUGAUCUUUGUGGAUGGAUGCCUGACAAGAACCUAGAGAAGACAACACAUCCUUCUCUGAGGCACUUAGGGCUAACUGUAGAUGAGGGUGACCAGGUAGUGGCGCCCAGAAGAAGGGUGGGCCAGCUGGUGGGAGAAAAAUGCUGGAAAGCUAGCCGACACUGAUUGAUCAAUGUUGACUGAUAAUGUCAUGUUGAUCGGUCAGGUUUAGAAGGCCAAUCAAAUCGAUUUUGAUUUGAAAUUCUACUUAGUUUUCUACUAAGACCUAACUUGUAGAAGGGCAUUUCUGAAAUCAACCUGUCUGGUAAUAUGAUUUAUGAAAUAAAAUAAAGUUUAGAAAGCUGCUGGCACAGAGGGC